AUUGAACGCUGGCGGCAGGCCUAACACAUGCAAGUCGAACGGUAACAGGAAGAAGCUUGCUUCUUUGCUGACGAGUGGCGGACGGGUGAGUAAUGUCUGGGAAACUGCCUGAUGGAGGGGGAUAACUACUGGAAACGGUAGCUAAUACCGCAUAACGUCGCAAGACCAAAGAGGGGGACCUUCGGGCCUCUUGCCAUCGGAUGUGCCCAGAUGGGAUUAGCUAGUAGGUGGGGUAACGGCUCACCUAGGCGACGAUCCCUAGCUGGUCUGAGAGGUUGACCAGCCACACUGGAACUGAGACACGGUCCAGACUCCUACGGGAGGCAGCAGUGGGGAAUAUUGUACAAUGGGCGCAAGCCUGAUGCAGCCAUGCCGCGUGUAUGAAGAAGGCCUUCGGGUUGUAAAGUACUUUCAGCGGGGAGGAAGGGAGUAAAGUUAAUACCCUUGCUCAUUGACGUUACCCGCAGAAGAAGCACCGGCUAACUCCGUG
rnacentral:rRNA from 1 species